rnacentral:rRNA from 1 species
AGCGGCGGACGGGUGAGUAACACGUGGGUAACCUGCCCAAGAGACUGGGAUAACACCUGGAAACAGAUGCUAAUGCCGGAUAACAACACUAGACGCAUGUCUAGAGUUUGAAAGAUGGUUCUGCUAUCACUCUUGGAUGGACCUGCGGUGCAUUAGCUAGUUGGUAAGGUAACGGCUUACCAAGGCAAUGAUGCAUAGCCGAGUUGAGAGACUGAUCGGCCACAUUGGGACUGAGACACGGCCCAAACUCCUACGGGAGGCAGCAGUAGGGAAUCUUCCACAAUGGACGAAAGUCUGAUGGAGCAACGCCGCGUGAGUGAAGAAGGGUUUCGGCUCGUAAAGCUCUGUUGGUAGUGAAGAAAGAUAGAGGUAGUAACUGGCCUUUAUUUGACGGUAAUUACUUAGAAAGUCACGGCUAACUACGUGCCAGCAGCCGCGGUAAUACGUAGGUGGCAAGCGUUGUCCGGAUUUAUUGGGCGUAAAGCGAGCGCAGGCGGUUCAAUAAGUCUGAUGUGAAAGCCUUCGGUUCAACCGGAGAAUUGCAUCAGAAUCUGUUGAACUUGAGUGCAGAAGAGGAGAGUGGAACUCCAUGUGUAGCGGUGGAAUGCGUAGAUAUAUGGAAGAACACCAGUGGCGAAGGCGGCUCUCUGGUCUGCAACUGACGCUGAGGCUCGAAAGCAUGGGUAGCGAACAGGAUUAGAUACCCUGGUAGUCCAUGCCGUAAACGAUGAGUGCUAAGUGU